rnacentral:rRNA from 1 species
AGUGAACGCUGGCGGUAGGCCUAACACAUGCAAGUCGAACGGCAGCACAGUAAGAGCUUGCUCUUACGGGUGGCGAGUGGCGGACGGGUGAGGAAUACAUCGGAAUCUACUUUUUCGUGGGGGAUAACGUAGGGAAACUUACUCUAAUACCGCAUACGACCUACGGGUGAAAGCAUGGGAUCUUCGGACCUUGCGCGAUUGAAUGAGCCGAUGUCGGAUUAGCUAGUUGGCGGGGUAAAUGCCCACCAAGGCGACGAUCCGUAGCUGGUCUGAGAGGAUGAUCAGCCACACUGGAACUGAGACACGGUCCAGACUCCUACGGGAGGCAGCAGUGGGGAAUAUUGGACAAUGGGCGCAAGCCUGAUCCAGCCAUACCGCGUGGGUGAAGAAGGCCUUCGGGUUGUAAAGCCCUUUUGUUGGGAAAGAAAAGCAGCAGGUUAAUACCCCGCUGUUCUGACGGUACCCAAAGAAUAAGCACCGGCUAACUUCGUG